UUAACACAUGCAAGUCGAACGGUCUCUUCGGAGAUAGUGGCGGACGGGUGAGUAACGCGUGAGAAUCUAGCUUCAGGUCGGGGACAACCACUGGAAACGGUGGCUAAUACCGGAUGUGCCGAAAGGUGAAAGAUUUAUUGCCUGAAGAUGAGCUCGCGUCUGAUUAGCUAGUUGGUGUGGUAAGAGCGCACCAAGGCGACGAUCAGUAGCUGGUCUGAGAGGAUGAUCAGCCACACUGGGACUGAGACACGGCCCAAACUCCUACGGGAGGCAGCAGUGGGGAAUUUUCCGCAAUGGGCGAAAGCCUGACGGAGCAAUACCGCGUGAGGGAGGAAGGCUCUUGGGUUGUAAACCUCUUUUCUCAGGGAAUAAAAAAAUGAAGGUACCUGAGGAAUAAGCAUCGGCUAACUCCGUGCCAGCAGCCGCGGUAAUACGGAGGAUGCAAGCGUUAUCCGGAAUGAUUGGGCGUAAAGCGUCCGCAGGUGGCACUGUAAGUCUGCUGUUAAAGAGCAAGGCUCAACCUUGUAAAGGCAGUGGAAACUACAGAGCUAGAGUACGUUCGGGGCAGAGGGAAUUCCUGGUGUAGCGGUGAAAUGCGUAGAGAUCAGGAAGAACACCGGUGGCGAAAGCGCUCUGCUAGGCCGUAACUGACACUGAGGGACGAAAGCUAGGGGAGCGAAUGGGAUUAGAUACCCCAGUAGUCCUAGCCGUAAACGAUGGAUACUAGGCGUGGCUUGUAUCGACCCGAGCCGUGCCGGAGCCAACGCGUUAAGUAUCCCGCCUGGGGAGUACGCACGCAAGUGUGAAACUCAAAGGAAUUGACGGGGGCCCGCACAAGCGGUGGAGUAUGUGGUUUAAUUCGAUGCAACGCGAAGAACCUUACCAAGACUUGACAUGUCGCGUAUCUUCUUGGAAAGGGAAGAGUGCCUUAGGUAGCGCGAACACAGGUGGUGCAUGGCUGUCGUCAGCUCGUGUCGUGAGAUGAUUGGGUUAAGUCCCGCAACGAGGCGCAACCCCUCGUUUUUAGUUGCCAGCAUUAAGUUGGGCACUCUAGAGAGACUGCCGGUGACAAACCGGAGGAAGGUGGGGAUGACGUCAAGUCAGCAUGCCCCUUACGUCUUGGGCUACACACGUACUACAAUGCUACGGACAGAGGGCAGCAAGCUAGCGAUAGCAAGCAAAUCCCGUAAACCGUAGCUCAGUUCAGAUCGCAGGCUGCAACUCGCCUGCGUGAAGGAGGAAUCGCUAGUAAUUGCAGGUCAGCAUACUGCAGUGAAUUCGUUCCCGGGCCUUGUACACACCGCCCGUCACACCAUGGAAGCUGGCAACGCCCGAAGUCAUUACUCCAACUUUUAGGAGAGGAGGAUGCCUAA
rnacentral:rRNA from 1 species